UCUGUCCUCUGGAGCCAUGGUAGCAGUGGCAAAACACUUACAGGGCCCCUCUAUACAUCUCCUGUUCUAUGGCUGUGUUGGAACUUCAAAGGCUGGGGGUUAUGGCGCUGACAAGACACCCCCCGAGGAGCUAAUACAGAGAAUUCUGUGGCCUGAGUCUCUGGUGGAAUCUGGAGGAGCUACAAGACCAGCCGAGCAAUCUCUCCUUCUCUCCUGCACAGCCUCUGGAUUCACCUUUGAGGACUACGGGAUUGACUGGUACCGGCAGGCUCUUGAAAAAGGGCCAGAAUGGGUUUCCCACACUGACCCUGCCGGAAGAAACCUGCUGUUCGCAGAGACUGUGAGGGGCUGCUUCUCCAUCUCUAGGAACACCAAAGACCAGCUGUACCUGCAGUUGGACAAUCUGCAAGCUGGGGACAGCGGCCAUUAUUACUGUGUGAGACUCAAAGUGAGGGAAAGAGACUGGGACCCCCCACGCAAACCACUCUCUGUUCCUGCUCAACCCUAGCAGAGGUGAACCUUGGGCUGCUGUGGCACAAAACCAUGGGGCCCAGGAAACAUAACUGUGGGAUUCUCCCCUUCUCCCCAUGCACACAAACACAUCAUUCUUGGGCAAGCACAUUUUCCUAAAGAAGGCCACUGGCCCCUGAACCCACAGACAAGGAUGAUUACAUUCACUCCUAUCUGCUUUCCAAAGAGCAAGUAAUGCAAUCACCAGGUGAACAGGUUUUUACCAAUUGUCUUUCUGCCUAUGAAGGAACAAUGUGUUAACUUGAUUACUUACA